GUAGGGAAUAUUGGUCAAUGGAUGCAAGUCUGAACCAGCCAUGCCGCGUGCAGGAAGAAGGCCUUCUGGGUUGUAAACUGCUUUUACCAGGGGAUAAAAAUCUCAUGCGUGAGAAAUUGAAGGUACCUGGUGAAUAAGCCACGGCUAACUACGUGCCAGCAGCCGCGGUAAUACGUAGGUGGCAAGCGUUGUCCGGAUUUAUUGGGUUUAAAGGGUGCGUAGGCGGCCCUGUAAGUCAGUGGUGAAAUACUCUAGCUUAACUAGAGGGGUGCCAUUGAUACUGCAGGGCUUGAGUACAGAUGAGGUAGGCGGAAUUGACGGUGUAGCGGUGAAAUGCAUAGAUAUCGUCAAGAACUCCGAUAGCGAAGGCAGCUUACUAAGCUGUAACUGACGCUGAGGCACGAAAGUGUGGGGAUCAAACAGGAUUAGAAACCCCGGUAGUCC
rnacentral:rRNA from 1 species